AAAAAAUAUUUACAUGUACAUAAUAAAUAUGUUGUUUAUUUUGUUUAUACAACUCUUACUUCUUUAAUGUACUUUAUAAAAUGUUUUAAUAUUCAGAACAAGUUUUAAAUAUAUAUAAAUAGUAUCAAGUUCCACUUAUAAUAUAGUGUGAAUUUACGAUUGUAAUUUAUGAGAAAAUGCAGAUGGAACAAAAGUGUAAUAUUAUUACUUGGAUAUGAAGUAAACUUGUAAUAACACCAGAAAUGUAGUGAUUAACUGCACCACCACUGCGUAAUAUCCCUCUAUAAAUUGUGAAGCAUUCAUAAAAAUCGAACAAGGGCAUUCAAUCCAUCCAAAGCGAAUUGCUGGUGAAAGAAUCUUUGAAAAUGAACAAUUUGAUAUAAUAUUGCCACCUUUGUAAUUGGGAUCCUCUAGGUUGUCAUAAAAGAACAGUCGAUGGGGCGGAUUUCCGUU